CGUGACGACUUUUUUUGUGACUUCCGGAUUUAUCGAUUCUUCCUCCUCUUAUUCACACUAACACUCGGAUCGAUAUCACACCACACCGAAAAGCAAACAACACGCAACCACCGACCAACAACCGUUGAACCUUUUUUUAGCCGUGUGCAAAUUCAGGCAUGUGAUGGUCCACCAACAGCAUCAUCGUCAUCCAUCCCCGUUCGGCGUUUGUGUGAAAUAGUGAAAUGCAUAAAAAGAUGAAGAAGUCGAGCAGCAGCAUCCAUUCAAAGACAAAAACUGCACGGAACAGGGCUCGACCAGAUGAAAGAAUAAGAUGAUGAGAUGAGAUGACGUGAAUAUGACGACACAUUAUUAUGCAACUGGCCAUGAUUUUCGUGACAUUCUGACUUAUUGGAUGACCCAGUCGUGGCGAAACAUCUCGCCAGGGAGGAGGGACCAUGUUGAUGAAGAAUCUUUUGAUGGUGGUGAGAACAACAGGACGAUCUGGUCACCAGUACUCCGAGGACGCGACAACUCAUUAUGGCAAGAACUAGU